ACUAGGCGCCCGCUUCGACUUUUCGAAACACGAAGGGCCGCUCCUCCGGGAGCGGCCCUUUUCUUUUGGCCGC
rnacentral:misc_RNA from 1 species